rnacentral:rRNA from 1 species
UACAGAGGUCCCGAGCGUUGUUCGGAUUCACUGGGCGUAAAGGGUGCGUAGGUGGUGGGAUAAGUCGGAUGUGAAAUCUCGGAGCUUAACUCCGAAACUGCAUUGGAAACUGUCCUGCUAGAGGGUUGGAGGGGGGACUGGAAUACUUGGUGUAGCAGUGAAAUGCGUAGAUAUCAAGUGGAACACUGGUGGCGAAGGCGAGUCCCUGGACAACACCUGACACUGAGGCACGAAAGCUAGGGGAGCAAACAGG